GGCCUGGCUGUAAAAUCAUUAAUGGUCAUAAGAAGUUUAAUGGUAUGGCCAAAAAGGGCUUCGAUCAGAACUUUAAGGUAAUUUGCACAAGAUGGAUCAGACCCAAAUAUCUUUAUAACUUCACUGGAUAGAUAAAGGAAACAAGGCUGAUUGUGUUGCUGGUAUAAAAGUUGAACCUCUUCCAGCAUUGCCCCGAUUGUGACCCCCAUGA
rnacentral:misc_RNA from 1 species